CUUCCUUCCCUCUUAGCAUGCGAGGGUAUUUAUAGGGAAGCUUACUGUGCCUGAUGUGCCCCCUUGCAGGAGCAGGUAGCGUCUGACACUGGCGCUGGCGUGCGAGACCGAGCCUGGGCAGAAUGUUUAAUGUGCCUCGGUCGGCGUUCUGGUCCGUUUGACCAGGUAUUGAGGCGUGAUGCGUCAUCUGGGACAGGUGACGUCAGCCCCAGUCUUGUCGCCAUUAUCUCCCUCAUCAUAUUCCCCCCCUGAAGGGAGCCACACAUCGGCUGUUGUUGUAAGAGGGGUCCGAGGUGUGGCUUCAGCUUUUAGUGCUCGUUCUUGUAGAGCAGCUGCUGGUUCGUUACCGGGGGCGGAGUCCGAAUUUAGCAAAUAAGGAAGGCUGGUCGUGCCGCGGUGAGCUCGGGCAGCAGGGGGUCGAGGAGCACGACGCAGGCGGGCAGGUUGGGCCGGCGAGUCGCAAGUCGGAGAUCGAACUGGAGCGACUCGAGCUAUGGUCUGAGCCGACGAGUCGCAAGUUGGAGAUCGAACUGGGGCGACUCGGGCUAUGGUCUGAGCCGGCGAGUCGUAAGUCGGAGAUCGACCUGGAGCGACUCGGGCUAUGGUCUGAGCCGACGAGUCGCAAGUUGGAGAUCGAACUGGAGCGACUCGGGCUAUGCGCCAAGCCGGUGAGUCGCAAGUCGGAGAUUGAAUUGGAGCGACUCGGGCUAUGCGCCAAGCCGGUGAGUCGCAAGUCGGAGAUCGAACUGGAGCGACUCGGGCUAUGGUCUGGGCCGGUGAGUCGCAAGUCGGAGAUCGAACUGGAGUAACUCGGGCUAUGCGCCAAGGAGCACGACGCAGGCGGGCAGGGCGCGUGGGUGUGUCUUGGGUCAUGGGCAACGUGCGACCGAUGAGCACAUCUCAAUCGGGAAGCCGAGCAGAGGUCGUGGUCUCGGACAACGUGCAGGCGAGGAGCACGACGCAAGCGGGCAGGCCGCGUAGGCAUGUCUCGGGUUAUGGGCCGAGCCGGCGAGUCGCAAGUCGGAGGUCUAACUAGAGCGACUCGGGCUAUGAGCCGAGGAGCACGACACAGGCAGGCAGGCCGCGAGGGCGUGUCUCGGUCGACAUGCAGCCGAGGAGCACAGCUCUGUCGGGCAAGCCGAUCAGAGGUGGUCUCGGGCAACACGUUGCCGAGGAGUAUGACGUAGGCGGGCAUGCCGCGCUGAGGUGGGCUCGUCCGUUUAUGGCCGAGGGAUAUGGCAAAAGCCGGGGGCUCGAUUCUGGCGGGCAGGCCGCGCUGAGGUGAACUCGGCAGCGUAUGGCCGAGAAGCUCGGCGCAGGCGGGCUGCGGCCGAGGGACGUGACCCAGGUGGGCAAGUCGCACGGGCGUGGUCUCGGGCACCAUGCGACCGAGGUGUUCGGCGCAGGUAGACUGUGGCCGCGCGGACGCCGCUCAGGAGGGCAGGCCGCGCUGAGGUGGGCUCGGCGGUGUGGCCGUGAAACUCGGCGCAGACAAGCUGCGGCCGAGGGACACCACUCGGGCGGGCAGGCUGCGACCGAGGUGGACUCGGGUAGUCUACGACCAAGCCGUGCGAAUGCAAAAAAGAGGGGGGUUAGGCCGAAGCUAACCGUGAGCCAAGAGGCAGUCAGGCAAACACUGAGCCUUCUCUUGGCAGAGACUAAGGCAGGGCGGGCCCGAGCGGGCGGCUCUCGUUGCCGUGGUGGUCGUAGGGGGGUGCACCGGAUGAGAAACGAGCGGGAUAAUGGUUCGCACUAUACCCGUCAGCGCUCAGACUUGAUGAGCGAGGUCCUGGAAGGCCUUGAGCGACACGGUCGAGGGGUCGCUGGGGGCGCGCUCGGGCGGAAGCAGACCCGGGUCGUGGACAAACACCAGUGGCGUUCUGCGGUCGCGACGGGGUGUUCGUCUCGAAGAUCUCCAUGCGGGGGACUUUCCCCCGGAGCUCCGAUCAGGAGUGACCCCUCAACUGUGAGCUUGUCUGAGCCAGUUGGAUGAUCCCUCGACUUUCGGGGCCCUCCUUUUAGCGUCAAAGUGUUGCGGGGGGCAACUGUUUGAACCGUGGCCUCGGGGCCAAUGCGGUCAGGUUUGGGUUCAGUCGCCGCGGGGGGUCGUCGGUUUCUCCGGGAAUGAGGCUCCUUGCUUGUGCGUCGAGCGGAGGGCGUCUCGCCUUCGUACCUGCACACAGGUCGGGUCGGGAUGUUUGACCCGACCCCUUCAAUGGUUAAGUUAGUCCCCCUAGGGGUUGUGUGUGUCCGUCCUCUUCCUUCCCUCUUAGCAUGCGAGGGUAUUUAUAGGGAAGCUUACUGUGCCUGAUGUGCCCCCUUGCAGGAGCAGGUAGCGUCUGACACUGGCGCUAGCGUGGCGUGCGAGACCGAGCCUGGGCAGAAUGUUUAAUGUGCCUCGGUCGACGUUCUGGUCCGUUUGACCAGGUACUGAGGCGUGAUGCGUCAUCUGGGACAGGUGACGUCAGCCCCAGUCUUGUCGCCAUUAUUUCCCUCAUCA
rnacentral:lncRNA from 1 species